GACGAACGCUGGCGGCGUGCUUAACACAUGCAAGUCGAACGGAAAGGCCCUGCUUUUGUGGGGUGCUCGAGUGGCGAACGGGUGAGUAACACGUGAGUAACCUGCCCUUGACUUUGGGAUAACUUCAGGAAACUGGGGCUAAUACCGGAUAGGAGCUCCUGCUGCAUGGUGGGGGUUGGAAAGUUUCGGCGGUUGGGAUGGACUCGCGGCUUAUCAGCUUGUUGGUGGGGUAGUGGCUUUCCAAGGCUUUGACGGGUAGCCGGCCUGAGAGGGUGACCGGCCACAUUGGGACUGAGAUACGGCCCAGACUCCUACGGGAGGCAGCAGUGGGGAAUAUUGCACAAUGGGCGGAAGCCUGAUGCAGCAACGCCGCGUGCGGGAUGACGGCCUUCGGGUUGUAAACCGCUUUCGCCUGUGACGAAGCGUGAGUGACGGUAAUGGGUAAAGAAGCACCGGCUAACUACGUG
rnacentral:rRNA from 1 species